UAGCAGUAGUGCGGUGGUAGUAAUAAAAUGGAGUAACAAACUUGGAAGCAGAAAGGUUAUCAAGAGGCCGCAAACUGGCCAUUGAAUAUGGAGUUUUGCUGGGUGUUUGGGAACGGGUUUCAGUCGUCACCUUCGUUGUUUUCUUCUUCUUCUUUUGCAGCUCCCCAACGAAACAACAAGUUCCGGUGUGUAGCAACUACAAAGAUCUCUAUUCCGUGUACUAAGCUAGCCGAAUUUCAUGUCUCCCCAAGUGUUUCCCGUAGUGAUAGACACUCCGCUAUUCUUCAAAUUCAGGACUCAUCUGACUUGCCUUCUGCUCUUUCAAGGCACGGUGAGACGCUUAAAGUACAAGAUAUGAAUGUCAUUUUGCGUUAUUUCGGGAAGCUAAGUAGACGGCAGGAGCUUCACCAGGUGUUUGAUUGGAUGCAGCAGAAUCAGAAGAUCAAUUUUGCAUCGUACAGCAGUUAUGUAAAGUUCAUGGGAAAGAGCCUCAGUUCUGUUGAGGGUGUAGAAAUGUACAGAAGCAUCAAAGACAGGUCGACAAAGUUUAAUGUCUCAGUCUGUAAUGCAUUUCUUAGUUCUCUAAUCAAAAAUGGAAAACCUGAGAGCAGUCUCAAACUGUUUACUCAAAUGAAGCGAGAUGGUUUAGUACCAGAUGUUGUCACAUAUAGCACGCUUCUUGCAGGCUGUGCCAAAGUAAAAGAUGGAUACUAUAAGGCACUAGAGCUGGUUCAGGAGCUGAUGUCUAAUGGACUGCAAAUGGAUAGUGUGACUUAUGGGGCGCUCCUUUCUGUCUGCGCUUCACAUAAACAGUGCAAUGAAGCUGCAAAGUACUUUCAGAAGAUGAAAGCUGAAGGUCAUUCACCUAAUGUCUACCACUAUAGCUCUUUGCUUAAUGCGUACUCUGCUGACAGAAAUUACGAGAAGGCUGAGACAUUGAUUGAAGAGAUGAGAUCUGCAGGCUUAGUAUUAAAUAAGGUAAUCUAUACAACUUUGUUGAAGGUAUAUGCAAAAGGAGGUUUGUUUGAGAAGGCAAAGGAACUACUAAAGGAGUUAGAAGCUCUUGGCUAUGCUAAGGAUGAGAUUCCAUUUUGUCUCCUAAUGGAUGGCCUGGCAAAGUCUGGACAUCUUCUUGAAGCAAAAUCGGUAUUUGAUGAGAUGAUGGGAAAACAGGUGAAAACUGAUGGCUAUUCCUAUAGCAUUAUGAUUUCAGCAUUCUGCCGCAGUGGGCUUCUCGAAGAUGCAAAGAAAUUAGCUUUUGAAUUUGAAGAAAAAUAUGACAAAUAUGAUAUAGUUAUCUUGAAUGCGAUGCUCUCUGCCUACUGCAGAGCAGGAGAAAUGGAGAAUGUAAUGAGCAUGAUGAAGAAGAUGGAUGACUCUGCAAUUAGUCCUGAUUGGAAUACCUUUAAUAUUCUUAUAAGAUAUUUCUCCAAGGAGAAACUAUAUAUGCUUGCCUAUCGUACCAUGGAGGACAUGCAUAGAAAAGGUCUCCAGCCAGAGGAGGGACUUUGUUCCUCUUUAAUUUAUCAUCUUGGUAAGACAGGUGCAUAUUCAGAAGCAUUUUCUGUAUACAACAUGUUGAGAUAUAGCAAAAGAACCAUAUCCAAAGUCCUUCAUGAGAAUAUUUUGCACAUUUUGAUUGCUGGGCGCCUCCUCAAAGAUGCUUAUGUGGUAGUCAAGGACAAUGCAGGAUUCAUCUCCCAACCGGCUAUCAAAAAAUUUGCUGUCAACUUCUUGAGAUCUGGCAAUGUAAACCUAAUCAAUGAUGUGAUGAAGGCCAUGCACAGCUCUGGCCACAAGAUUGAUCAGGUUCUUCCACAGUUUGAGAAAACGGGUUCUGGAAAGCUAUGUUAUUCCUCCUUUGGACAGGAAUUAUUUGAUAUGGCUAUAUCACGCUACAUUGCAAAACCAGAAAAGAAGGAAUUACUUAUCCGGUUACUGAAGUGGAUGCCUGGUCAAGGUUAUGCUAUUGAUUCAUCAACUAGAAAUUUGAUUCUGAAGAAUUCUCACUUGUUUGGCCAUCAACUUAUUGCUGAGUCAUUAUCCAAGCAGCUUGUGAUGUCAAAAAUUGUGAAACCUCACAAGGAAAAUGCAAGAUAACGGAAGCUGGGUGGCUAAGUUGGACAUUAAUUUGCUGUAAAGAGAACUUUGAUAUGCUGCAGGUCUUAAGCUGAUAAUUUUGUUGCUGAGGCAGCUAUAUUUGCGGAAACAAUUUACACUACUCUCAGCUUAAUGACAAAUAUGGCAAUGCAUGUGACAACUUGAAUAAGAUAUCUGAGGGUGUCACAAGUUUCUGAUGAAGCAUGCCAAUGACCAGCACCAGCUUGUCUCCAUUCAUGUUGGGAUAAUCAUUCGAAUUUCUCAUCAUAUUUAAUUGAGCUAUGACAUUUGCAGUGCCUUGUGUAGAGCCAUUCGUGAUUGUGACAGACAAGUUUCGAAAUAUCAGUUACAUUAAUGCACACCUUCUACGGUGGAUAGCUUCAAAGGCACAAACUUUUAGGAAAAGGAAAUGCUUUGAUGCACAAACAUCAACAUAUGUGUCAGCUGCAAGCUAUUUCUUUUCUGGUAUGGGUAUUCAAGAAGUCACUAAAUAAUUUUGUUCAUUUCCUGGGCCCGGCACUUCCUUGACCACCGGAAAAGCAAGCGAGCUUCCUAUUGUUUCCCUGAAAAAUAUGACUAGUACUACAUUUAUAAGUCCUGUACCGGAAAAGCAAGCGAGCUUCCUAUUGUUUCCCUGAAAAAUAUGACUAGUACUACAUUUAUAAGUCCUGUACCGGUGUAGAAUAAAAAUAAGCUAUAUCUAUCUAUUCUAUAAUAAAAGUGGGAAACUCUAAACCAAAAAGUUGAAAGACCAAUGAACCCUUUUAAUAAUAUAUAUUUGUAUUUAAUAAUAAUUAAAUAAAAACUGAAAAAUAUUGAUUUAUCUUGUGUCUUUUCUAAAUAGUUGUGUUCUCUUGUUAGUAACUAAUUUUAAAGAAGCUAUUUGGCCGUUAGAGAAAAACUUUUCAAAGACUUAUUUGUUUUAUUGGAAGGACACAACUCUUCAUAAGAGAAAUACACGUGUUUAUUUUACAGUAUGAUUAUUAAAUAAUACUAUUCCCUCUGUCCCAAAAAGAUUGUCCCCUUUUUAUAUUUAGAAACAAUUUAACUUUAUGAGAUGAUUUACAGUCACACAAAUAUCUACGGCUUGUUUUGGACCACUCAUUUCAAAAGUCGUCCUUUAUUUCUUAAACUUUGUGCCAAGUCAAAAGAGGACAAUCUUUUUGGGACGGAGGAAGUAACAUAUAUAUGUAAUUAAUGUGGUUUUUUAUGGGUAAUAUUACAACAUACCCAGUGAAAUUCCGCAAGUGGAUCUGGGGAGGGUAGAGUGUGAGUAGAUCUUACUCCUUGGGAGGUAGAGAGGUUGUUUCCGAUAGAAUCUCGGCUUUGAAUAAAACAAUAAUUAUAGUUAGCUUUUUUUUGGGGUUUGGGAUGGUAGAGUGUACGCACAUCUUUCAAUACUAAAGUUAGUUCCAUUUGGAAAGGAAAAAAGAAUCAGAAUAUAUCACCUACUACAAAACAAACACAAGAAAGCAACCUAAGAAGGUAUUUCAUAACUUCAUAUUACUUUACUACUAUAUAUAAGCAAGAAUAAGGAGCUUUUGUAGUCCUUACAAGUUCAUUUUUGUCAAUUUGCUAGAGUUUUUUUUUUUUUUUUUUAAGAAAAUGAUGUAUGUUGUUGACUUCUUGUCCCUCUUUUAUGUUGCCCUUGAUUUAGUUCAUUACUACUAUAUAUAAGCAAGAAGAAUAAGGAGCUUUUGUAGUCCUCAUAGAGUCAUUUUUGUCAAUUUGCUAGAGUUUGCCUUUUUUUUUUUUGAAAGAAAAUGACAUGUGUUGUUGCCUACUUGUCUCUCUUUUAUGUUGCCCUUGAUUUAGUUCAAUACUAGAUAACAGUUCCGUAAGAACGUAUUUUUUAAAUAAAUUUCAUGAUAUGAGCAUAAUAGAAUAUAAAUAGCAAAACAAGAGCUUGACAACUUGUGCAAGCAUACAAAUUCAACAGUUAUCAGCCAACAACACAUGAAAAUCGCCGGAGACGGUUGGAAUUCCAGGAUUCUUGAGAUUGCGAGAGACUGUCUAGCGAAGGGGAGUGAGAGAGUUAGGUCGAGAAAUGCAGGUUUAACUGUUUAAGACUAGGAAUGAGCAAAAUAUCGAAGGGGAUGUAUUGGGAUUUGUGCCUGGGCAAUAAAGUGUAUUACUGAUUUAGAGUAUACACAAUUCGGUUUGUCGGUCGGUUCGGUUCGGUUCGGUUUGUAAAUAUAACCAAUGGUAUCCGAAUCGGGAAACCAUAAUAGUUUAUAAUUGAAUUCGUACACCAAAUUCGAAUUGUGUUAUCCAAAUUGUUUCAAAUUUGUUCGGAAAUUCAUGUUGAACCGAUUUAUGCACAGGCCUACCCCCACUUCCUCGUUUGCGUUGCAUGAUGUUUUGUCACUAAUUUUUUGAGUGGUAAACAAAUAUGUGUUGGUUGUAUUUAUUUUAUUUAUAAGCUUUUGUUCACAAAAAAAUAAUCUUAAAAUAUAUGAUGAUUCAUGUAGGAAAAGGUACUUCCUUGCACUAUAUUUGUUCCUAGAUCUGAGUAUAAAUGAAAAUCCUCUUAUAAAAUAGUAUACCAUUGUUGCCUAUGCAUAUUACCAUUCAUGUCUUUGUUUUAGCAACCCAUGUUAUGCUGGUUGUAGGAAAUGCUUUGAUGCACAAACAUCAACAUAUGUGUCAGCUGCAAGCUAUUUCUUUUCUGGUAUGGGUAUUCAAGAAGUCACUAAAUAAUUUUGUUCAUUUCCUGGGCCCGGCACUUCCUUGACCACCGGAAAAGCAAGCGAGCUUCCUAUUGUUUCCCUGAAAAAUAUGACUAGUACUACAUUUAUAAGUCCUGUACCGGAAAAGCAAGCGAGCUUCCUAUUGUUUCCCUGAAAAAUAUGACUAGUACUACAUUUAUAAGUCCUGUACCGGUGUAGAAUAAAAAUAAGCUAUAUCUAUCUAUUCUAUAAUAAAAGUGGGAAACUCUAAACCAAAAAGUUGAAAGACCAAUGAACCCUUUUAAUAAUAUAUAUUUGUAUUUAAUAAUAAUUAAAUAAAAACUGAAAAAUAUUGAUUUAUCUUGUGUCUUUUCUAAAUAGUUGUGUUCUCUUGUUAGUAACUAAUUUUAAAGAAGCUAUUUGGCCGUUAGAGAAAAACUUUUCAAAGACUUAUUUGUUUUAUUGGAAGGACACAACUCUUCAUAAGAGAAAUACACGUGUUUAUUUUACAGUAUGAUUAUUAAAUAAUACUACUCCCUCUGUCCCAAAAAGAUUGUCCCCUUUUUAUAUUUAGAAACAAUUUAACUUUAUGAGAUGAUUUACAGUCACACAAAUAUCUACGGCUUGUUUUGGACCACCCAUUUCAAAAGUCGUCCUUUAUUUCUUAAACUUUGUGCCAAGUCAAAAGAGGACAAUCUUUUUGGGACGGAGGAAGUAACAUAUAUAUGUAAUUAAUGUGGUUUUUUAUGGGUAAUAUUACAACAACAUACCCAGUGAAAUUCCGCAAGUGGAUCUGGGGAGGGUAGAGUGUGAGUAGAUCUUACUCCUUGGGAGGUAGAGAGGUUGUUUCCGAUAGAAUCUCGGCUUUGAAUAAAACAAUAAUUAUAGUUAGCUUUUUUUUGGGGUUUGGGAUGGUAGAGUGUACGCACAUCUUUCAAUACUAAAGUUAGUUCCAUUUGGAAAGGAAAAAAGAAUCAGAAUAUAUCACCUACUACAAAACAAACACAAGAAAGCAACCUAAGAAGGUAUUUCAUAACUUCAUAUUACUUUACUACUAUAUAUAAGCAAGAAUAAGGAGCUUUUGUAGUCCUUACAAGUUCAUUUUUGUCAAUUUGCUAGAGUUUUUUUUUUUUUUUUUUAAGAAAAUGAUGUAUGUUGUUGACUUCUUGUCCCUCUUUUAUGUUGCCCUUGAUUUAGUUCAUUACUACUAUAUAUAAGCAAGAAGAAUAAGGAGCUUUUGUAGUCCUCAUAGAGUCAUUUUUGUCAAUUUGCUAGAGUUUGCCUUUUUUUUUUUUGAAAGCAAAUGACAUGUGUUGUUGCCUACUUGUCUCUCUUUUAUGUUGCCCUUGAUUUAGUUCAAUACUAGAUAACAGUUCCGUAAGAACGUAUUUUUUAAAUAAAUUUCAUGAUAUGAGCAUAAUAGAAUAUAAAUAGCAAAACAAGAGCUUGACAACUUGUGCAAGCAUACAAAUUCAACAGUUAUCAGCCAACAACACAUGAAAAUCGCCGGAGACGGUUGGAAUUCCAGGAUUCUUGAGAUUGCGAGAGACUGUCUAGCGAAGGGGAGUGAGAGAGUUAGGUCGAGAAAUGCAGGUUUAACUGUUUAAGACUAGGAAUGAGCAAAAUAUCGAAGGGGAUGUAUUGGGAUUUGUGCCUGGGCAAUAAAGUGUAUUACUGAUUUAGAGUAUACACAAUUCGGUUUGUCGGUCGGUUCGGUUCGGUUCGGUUUGUAAAUAUAACCAAUGGUAUCCGAAUCGGGAAACCAUAAUAGUUUAUAAUUGAAUUCGUACACCAAAUUCGAAUUGUGUUAUCCAAAUUGUUUCAAAUUUGUUCGGAAAUUCAUGUUGAACCGAUUUAUGCACAGGCCUACCCCCACUUCCUCGUUUGCGUUGCAUGAUGUUUUGUCACUAAUUUUUUGAGUGGUAAACAAAUAUGUGUUGGUUGUAUUUAUUUUAUUUAUAAGCUUUUGUUCACAAAAAAAUAAUCUUAAAAUAUAUGAUGAUUCAUGUAGGAAAAGGUACUUCCUUGCACUAUAUUUGUUCCUAGAUCUGAGUAUAAAUGAAAAUCCUCUUAUAAAAUAGUAUACCAUUGUUGCCUAUGCAUAUUACCAUUCAUGUCUUUGUUUUAGCAACCCAUGUUAUGCUGGUUGUAGGAAAUGCUUUGAUGCACAAACAUCAACAUAUGUGUCAGCUGCAAGCUAUUUCUUUUCUGGUAUGGGUAUUCAAGAAGUCACUAAAUAAUUUUGUUCAUUUCCUGGGCCCGGCACUUCCUUGACCACCGGAAAAGCAAGCGAGCUUCCUAUUGUUUCCCUGAAAAAUAUGACUAGUACUACAUUUAUAAGUCCUGUACCGGAAAAGCAAGCGAGCUUCCUAUUGUUUCCCUGAAAAAUAUGACUAGUACUACAUUUAUAAGUCCUGUACCGGUGUAGAAUAAAAAUAAGCUAUAUCUAUCUAUUCUAUAAUAAAAGUGGGAAACUCUAAACCAAAAAGUUGAAAGACCAAUGAACCCUUUUAAUAAUAUAUAUUUGUAUUUAAUAAUAAUUAAAUAAAAACUGAAAAAUAUUGAUUUAUCUUGUGUCUUUUCUAAAUAGUUGUGUUCUCUUGUUAGUAACUAAUUUUAAAGAAGCUAUUUGGCCGUUAGAGAAAAACUUUUCAAAGACUUAUUUGUUUUAUUGGAAGGACACAACUCUUCAUAAGAGAAAUACACGUGUUUAUUUUACAGUAUGAUUAUUAAAUAAUACUACUCCCUCUGUCCCAAAAAGAUUGUCCCCUUUUUAUAUUUAGAAACAAUUUAACUUUAUGAGAUGAUUUACAGUCACACAAAUAUCUACGGCUUGUUUUGGACCACCCAUUUCAAAAGUCGUCCUUUAUUUCUUAAACUUUGUGCCAAGUCAAAAGAGGACAAUCUUUUUGGGACGGAGGAAGUAACAUAUAUAUGUAAUUAAUGUGGUUUUUUAUGGGUAAUAUUACAACAACAUACCCAGUGAAAUUCCGCAAGUGGAUCUGGGGAUGGUAGAGUGUGAGUAGAUCUUACUCCUUGGGAGGUAGAGAGGUUGUUUCCGAUAGAAUCUCGGCUUUGAAUAAAACAAUAAUUAUAGUUAGCUUUUUUUUGGGGUUUGGGAUGGUAGAGUGUACGCACAUCUUUCAAUACUAAAGUUAGUUCCAUUUGGAAAGGAAAAAAGAAUCAGAAUAUAUCACCUACUACAAAACAAACACAAGAAAGCAACCUAAGAAGGUAUUUCAUAACUUCAUAUUACUUUACUACUAUAUAUAAGCAAGAAUAAGGAGCUUUUGUAGUCCUUACAAGUUCAUUUUUGUCAAUUUGCUAGAGUUUUUUUUUUUUUU